GACGAACGCUGGCGGCGUGCUUAACACAUGCCAGUCGAACGGAAAGGCCCUGCUUUUGUGGGGUGCUCGAGUGGCGAACGGGUGAGUAACACGUGAGUAACCUGCCCUUGACUUUGGGAUAACUUCAGGAAACUGGGGCUAAUACCGGAUAGGAGCUCCUGCUGCAUGGUGGGGGUUGGAAAGUUUCGGCGGUUGGGGAUGGACUCGCGGUUUAUCAGCUUGUUGGUGGGGUAAUGGCUUACCAAGGCUUUGACGGGUAGCCGGCCUGAGAGGGUGACCGGCCACAUUGGGACUGAGAUACGGCCCAGACUCCUACGGGAGGCAGCAGUGGGGAAUAUUGCACAAUGGGCGGAAGCCUGAUGCAGCAACGCCGCGUGCGGGAUGACGGCCUUCGGGUUGUAAACCGCUUUCGCCUGUGACGAAGCGUGAGUGACGGUAAUGGGUAAAGAAGCACCGGCUAACUACGUG
rnacentral:rRNA from 1 species